rnacentral:lncRNA from 1 species
AUCGCUUCAAUUUUGGUUUUGUCCAAGACUUGAGUCGUUACCAGAAGAAAGCCUCCCCGAUUCUCUCAAGCUGCUGGUCAUUUCGAGAUGCCCUGCAUUAGAAGAAAGGUAUAAUAGGAAGGAACAUUGGUCGAAAAUUGCUCACAUCCCUGUCAUAGAAAUAGAUGGACAUGUGACAAUAUGAAGGUUGUAUGUUUCAUAGCCGAUAAAUAAACAACUAACCAAACAUUCAUAAUCAAUAGCCUUCUUAUAAAAUCUUCUUAUGUAUCUUUUUAUACUACUAACCUUUUGUUUCUUGUCCGCCUUUAAUUUUUCAGCUAGUAUCGAAGCAUGAAGUUCUAACUAGUUCAUCUCCCUGUCAAUUGUGAAAAUUUCCUCCUUCACAAAUACCAUUCUAUCGUUUAUAAUUUUCGUUCGUUGAAGAGCAAUAUGUUGAUUUUGUAUUGUGAUAGAGUACAUCAUUUUAAAUACUACUUUAGUCGUUAGCAACGUUUGCAUCUUAUCCAUAUCAUUCAAAGGAAGGUCGUGUUGCUCUUUGAAGGUCGUGUUGCUUCAUCAUAAGUCAUUUAUCCAUAGGGCCACCUAAC